rnacentral:lncRNA from 10 species
UACUGAUCAGAAAGGAUGUUUCCAAGGGGAAAAAACAGGAAUCUUCAUCUGAAGCAGUCAGGGAUCCAUGCUUUCUUCAAGAAGAAGGAAAGUGUUCCCCAAAUCUUCCUCAGGUCAAGAGGAAACAGAAAUAAACUUUAUUCAAUGACUCAUAGAUUCGACAUAUUCUUUGAGAGACAUGAAGAGAAGAAGGGGAAGAAGAAAGGUUAUUAGCAUUACAGCUUCAGAAAGAGAUGGAUAAAGAGCAAAUGAAGCCAAACUGGCAAAAAGAGUUCCCAGAUGAAUAUCAGUUAUGCACCUACAUCCUCACCCCUAAAUUGCUAAAUGGAGAGAGGAAGAAUUCCAAAGGUAGGAACCUCAAAAGACAAACUGAUCCAGAGCAUUCGAAACCUUGGAGAGGCUCAAGGGAAGAAAAUUGGCAACCUUCUUUUAAGAUCCAGUUGAAGCAUUCAGUUAAUGGAGGAAAGAUGCCAAGUUCCACUAGAGAUAAUUGUAAGGAAUCUAAAAGUGCUAGUUCCCUACAGCCUAGUAAUUCACAGAAAAGUAUUUUUCAGAUGUUUCAGAGAUACACAGCUUAA